rnacentral:tRNA from 1 species
GGAGUACAAACCAGAGGAUAAAGCUUCUAACUUAGCCCCAAGCGAUGAAAUUUCGUUAAUACUCCU